rnacentral:lncRNA from 1 species
CCCUCCUUCUCUUCUUCUCCUCGUCCUCUUCUUCUCCUUCUCCUCUUCUUCCUCUCCUCCUCCUCUUUUUUCCUUCUCCUCCUCCUCUUCUUUUCUUCUCCUCCUCCUCUUAUUUUCUUCUCCUCUUCUACUUCUCCUCUUUUUCUUCUACUUCUCCUCUUCUUCUAUUUUUCCUCUUCCUCCCCUCUCCUCUUCUUAUUCUUCUUCUUCUUCUUCUUCUUCUUCUUUUGCUCCUCUUCUUCCUCUCCUCCUCUUCCUCUGAUAAUUCUAAAACAAAAUUAACCUAAAAACUAAUUCUAAAUAUUACUAAACCUAAUAAUUCGAACAAAAAAAGAAUUUAUCUAAACAAAAUUAAAAAAACA